GCCUGCUUGGCUCAGUUGGCAGAGCGUUGCUCUCGUAAAGCAAAGGUCGGGUGUUCGAUUCACCCAGUAGGCA
rfam:Rhizopus microsporus genome assembly, contig: SCAF107